UACGUAGGGUGCAAGCGUUUAAUCGGAAUUACUGGGCGUAAAGCGUGCGCAGGCGGUUGUGCAAGACCGAUGUGAAAUCCCCGGGCUUAACCUGGGAAUGGCAUUGGUGACUGCACGGCUAGAGUGUGUCAGAGGGGGGUAGAAUUCCACGUGUAGCAGUGAAAUGCGUAGAGAUGUGGAGGAAUGACCGAUGGCGAAGGCAGCCCCCUGGGAUAACACUGACGCUCAUGCACGAAAGCGUGGGGAGGCAAACAGG
rnacentral:rRNA from 1 species